rnacentral:misc_RNA from 1 species
AACGCACAUUGCGCCCGCCAGUAUUCUGGCGGGCAUGCCUGUUCGAGCGUCAUUUCAACCCUCAAGCCCAGCUUGGUGUUGGGGCACUGCGGCGUUCCGCAGUCCCUGAAACGCAUUGGCGGGCUCGCUACAACUCCGAGCGUAGUAAUGUAUCUCGCUAAGGAAGUGUGGCGGGUGCCGGCCGUAAAACCCACAAUUUUUACAAGGUUGACCUCGGAUCAGGUAGGAAUACCCGCUGAACUUAA